GUGCCAGCGCCGCGGUAAUACAGAGGGUGCGAGCGUUAAUCGGAUUUACUGGGCGUAAAGCGUGCGUAGGCGGCUUUUUAAGUCGGAUGUGAAAUCCCUGAGCUUAACUUAGGAAUUGCAUUCGAUACUGGGAAGCUAGAGUAUGGGAGAGGAUGGUAGAAUUCCAGGUGUAGCGGUGAAAUGCGUAGAGAUCUGGAGGAAUACCGAUGGCGAAGGCAGCCAUCUGGCCUAAUACUGACGCUGAGGUACGAAAGCAUGGGGAGCAAACAGGAUUAGAUACCCUGGUAGUCCAUGCCGUAAA
rnacentral:rRNA from 1 species